rnacentral:rRNA from 1 species
UAUACAUGCAGUCGAGCGAAUGGAUUAAGAGCUUGCUCUUAUGAAGUUAGCGGCGGACGGGUGAGUAACACGUGGGUAACCUGCCCAUAAGACUGGGAUAACUCCGGGAAACCGGGGCUAAUACCGGAUAAUAUUUUGAACCGCAUGGUUCGAAAUUGAAAGGCGGCUUCGGCUGUCACUUAUGGAUGGACCCGCGUCGCAUUAGCUAGUUGGUGAGGUAACGGCUCACCAAGGCAACGAUGCGUAGCCGACCUGAGAGGGUGAUCGGCCACACUGGGACUGAGACACGGCCCAGACUCCUACGGGAGGCAGCAGUAGGGAAUCUUCCGCAAUGGACGAAAGUCUGACGGAGCAACGCCGCGUGAGUGAUGAAGGCUUUCGGGUCGUAAAACUCUGUUGUUAGGGAAGAACAAGUGCUAGUUGAAUAAGCUGGCACCUUGACGGUACCUAACCAGAAAGCCACGGCUAACUACGUGCCAGCAGCCGCGGUAAUACGUAGGUGGCAAGCGUUAUCCGGAAUUAUUGGGCGUAAAGCGCGCGCAGGUGGUUUCUUAAGUCUGAUGUGA